rnacentral:rRNA from 1 species
UACGAAGGGUGCAAACGUUGCUCGGAAUUAUUGGGCGUAAAGCGCACGUAGGCGGCUUAGAAAGUUGGAUGUGAAAUCCCUCGGCUCAACCAAGGAAGUGCAUCCAAAACUGCUGAGCUUGAGUACUUAAGAGGAUCGCGGAAUUCCCGGUGUAGAGGUGAAAUUCGUAGAUAUCGGAAGGAACACCUGUGGCGAAAGCGGCUCACUGGACCAUUACUGACGCUGAUGCACGAAAGCUAGGGGAGCAAACAGG